rnacentral:tRNA from 1 species
AGUUAAUGAGCUUGAAUAAGCCUAUGUUUUGAAAACAUAAAAUAGAAAUCAAAAUUUUCUAUUAACUU